CACAAUUCUCGCACGUUUCCUUGUGUUGUGAUGGGCAAAGUAAACCAGCGACUCUGGCGGGGUUGGAAACCUAAUUUUGAAUUACGAAUAUUCGUCUGAGAAACCAGUGCUGGGAACAAAACGCAUGAAGUCUGGACAGAGGGCAGCCGGAUCCACGGCGAAUCAGCGGAUUAUUGUGAAGUGAUUUAAAUAUGUAUCAAUUGUUAAAAGUGGUUAAUUUAAAGUCAUGUCCUCUCUUCUCAUCGUUCCUAUCUGCCCUUUCCGUGAGGAUCAAUGCCACCAAAUGAAGUUAUUGGAAUCCGGGAAGGUAUUGAGAGAAGAAAUUCAGAGUGGAAAUUUCGAAAUCUCUUUCUUGUUCACAGCGAAAUACUCAAAUAAAGACAACACUUAACGUCGUGAAGAAUGGAGGAAUACUGAAAUACUGGAGGGAUCCCUGAUAGAACCAUCCAAAUUUUCACACAUCUUUUGAAAUUCACUCAUCCUCAAAAACUCAAAAUGUUUAACUUUGUUCUGCUUCUAGCAACAGCAACAAAAAAACUAGACGCGGUUGGAUUUAGCUAAUUCAAAGUCAAAUCGCAGGACAUAUUAUGGUGAAGGCAAAGGACUCUGUGGCCGACCGUUUAUAUAUACCACAGAUCUUUUUUUUUUGUUUGCCAAACUUUGAUGACCCAGCCCUGACGCGAAAAUUCAUUUUAUGCAGAGAAGUUCAGUCGCUUGGGCCCAAGUACCAGCUUAUUAACAUUCAAGUCUUUAAACUUAAAGUCGUAUUAAUGGCCCUCAAUGGGCUUUCAGACUGCCAUUGGCCCGCCGACCUCUCCCUUUUUUUUUUUAACUGAUUAUAAAUUAAAGCUAAUAUUUGUCCAUUUGUUAAAUAUGUUAACCACGCUCUGAUAAUCUUCCUCCGGAAAUAUUCUUAACUUCAUUUUAAACGUAUGAUUAACUACAGGAUGGGCCCGAAUAUGUAAUAACGGACAUUGAAGACAGAAUAGCUAAAUAUUUGAUCAGGAUCAAUGCAAAACGGAAUCUAUAUACUGUUUACUAUCCUUGGGUAUAGAUUUGCAAAUAUACAUCAUUUUAUUGACACAUAAGAUAUACACAUUUGGCUUGUAUGUAAAUAAAUAUACUGUUGUUAUUCC